rnacentral:rRNA from 1 species
GACGAACGCUGGCGGCGUGCCUAAUACAUGCAAGUCGAACGCUUCACUUCGGUGAAGAGUGGCGAACGGGUGAGUAAUACAUAAGUAACCUGGCAUCUACAGGGGGAUAACUGAUGGAAACGUCAGCUAAGACCGCAUAGGUGUAGAGCUCGCUUGAACUCGAUAUGAAAAGUGCUACGGGACUGGUAGAUGAAGGACUUAUGGGGCAAUAGAUGGUUGGUAGGGUAACGGACUACCAAGGCGACGAUGCGUAGCCGACCUGAGAGGGUGACCGGCCACACUGGGACUGAGACACGGCCCAGACUCCUACGGGAGGCAGCAGUAGGGAAUUUUCGGCAAUGGGGGAAACCCUGACCGAGCAACGCCGCGUGAAGGAAGAAGUAAUUCGUUAUGUAAACUUCUGUCAUAGAGGAAGAACGGUGGAUAUAGGGAAUGAUAUCCAAGUGACGGUACUCUAUAAGAAAGCCACGGCUAACUACGUGCCAGCAGCCGCAGUAA